CCUACGGGUGGCAGCAGUGGGGAAUCUUGCGCAAUGGGCGAAAGCCUGACGCAGCGACGCCGCGUGGGUGAUGAAGGCCUUCGGGUUGUAAAGCCCUGUGGGGAGGGACGAAUAACGCCGACCUAAUACGUCGGCGGAUGACGGUACCUCCUUAGCAAGCACCGGCUAACUCUGUGCCAGCAGCCGCGGUAAGACAGAGGGUGCAAACGUUGUUCGGAAGUACUGGGCGUAAAGUGGGUAUAGCGGGUUUGAAAGCCCGGGGCUCAACCUCGGAAGUGCAUUCGAUACUACCAUACUAGAGUACUGGAGAGGAUGGUGGAACUCUCGGUGUAGAGGUGAAAUUCGUAGAUAGCGAGAAGAACACCGGUGGCGAAGGCGGCCAUCUGGACAGAUACUGACGCUGAGACGCGAAAGCGUGGGGAGCAAACAGGAGUAGAUACCCUGGUAGUC
rnacentral:rRNA from 1 species